rnacentral:piRNA from 1 species
UGGUUACCCUCGAGACGUACAUGCCACU